CUGGAAAGGCAGAAGGGCACUCCUCCAAUGGGAGCCGGGGAGCCGUCUGUAGCGGCAUAGGCCCGUGCCGUGUCCCUGCUCGCGCUGCAGCCCGUGGAAGAGUUGCGUCCAGUGUAUCCUCCAGAUCUUGCGAUAGGCGUCUCGUAACUGUGCGCGCGCGGCAGGGGCAGCGGCGGCGACGGCCGGAGGUGUACGGUCAGCGGGUUGCGGAGGAUCGUGCGGGUAGCAAAGGGAGGCCGAGUGCUCCUGCGGCUCCCAGACGGCAACCGGUUGCUUCCUCUACUGAAGUCUUGAAACCCCUGAAAGUCAUCCCUGAGGGUUGGAGUUAACUUCUUCUACACUCCUGUUAAUGUUGAUAUUUUUGACCUCCUCGCAUGAAUCACAAAUGUUCUUAAUGGCAUCUAGAAUGGAACUAACCUGUCAGGUACUGAGAGGCUUUGAAGAUGGAUGGCUCUUCAGGUUGGGGACACGCCUUUGUUAAGGGGCAAGACUGCUGCCCGGAGUUGAUUCACAUACUCAGAGAAGCAAUCAAACUCCAAAUGGUGCUGUAAACUGAACCACACAUGGACAGGCCAUUCUUCCGAGGACCCUUAGAUCGAUCCCAGGAGGAGCCCUAGCUGCUGUUCCCCAUUCGACGCCCCUUUUCAGCAGGAAGUAGCCAGAAGGAGUCGCCGCCCAAAAUCCCCUAACAGCAGUUAGUGUGGUAUCUCCACAGGGACUAAUGUUGUAGGAGUUAUUAAGAAAUUAUUUUAGGCAGAUAGAGAGGAAAAGGGGUAUCCUUGGGAAGUUUUUGUUUUUUAUUUUUAUUUUUUUAUUAUUAUUUUUUUUUAGUCCGAAUUUUUUUUCAUUUAUUCACUCAACAGUUAGUGAACGUUACAAUAAUAUAAAAAUGAAUACAAGACAGUGUGAGAUGUACGUAUGUUGCUACAAAAAAUCAUUGUAGAGGUACAGUCAGCUACACGGAAGUUAGGAAGAGGAAUAAUUUACUUCUAGUUGCUGGAUGAAAAGCUUUGUAAAUGAGAUGCAUUUGAACUCUCAAAUAUUAUAAUAUCUUUUAAAAACAAGCCUACUAAGCUAUGAAUAUUAUCACAGAGAAGACAAAUAUAAAACGCUAAGCAGUCAAAGUAAAAAAAUUUUUAAAAACCUCAGAAAACAAACAGAUUUGCUGGUUGCUUAUAAUAGAGUCAUGUUUUUAAUUUUUUGUAAUUUUUAAAAUUUUUCUGUAAUGAACAUAUAUUAUCCUUAUAAUAAGACAUAGUUGGCCGGGCGCGGUGGCUCAAGCCUGUAAUCCCAGCACUUUGGGAGGCCGAGACAGGCGGAUCACAAGGUCAGGAGAUCGAGACCAUCCUGGCUAACACGGUGAAACCCCGUCUCUACUA